UGCCUUACACCAGAACGCCCUCUAACUUCUGGAAGGUUCAGGGGGGCACGUGAGGAAACUUUUGUUUUCACCCAGAAGGUGGCGGCACUGCCUGUGCGGGUUCGAAAAAGCAGAUAUCCUCAUUUAGGACAUAUUUAGAUAUGCACCUGCAUGCAAGGCUGUGGUACGAUGCUAGAAAGUGGUAGUUUUGUUUUGAGCAGGCAGAUCACACCGGAGCUCCACAGCUCUGUCACGGACUCCGCCCGUUAGUGGUCACGUGCUCUAUUCACAGGGAGCCAAUCAGCUUCGGCCGUGCCGCAGUUUGAAUCUGUUGUUUAGAAUUUUCAACCGAGCGCCGGGAACCAGGAGCAGACACCUAUGACAAGUGUGCCAUUCCAUAUUUUGAUGUCUUAUGAAAAGAAGUCCCUGCUCCAAAAUCUUCAAGUACCCAUUCGACAGUUACUGAACAUUGAGCACUGUUUCUAUGCUGAUGGCCAUUGAACCUAAACCCUAAGAAAUAGGAGAGUUGGACCAUUACAGAGGUGAUGUUAAACAGUAGAAGCUCCACUUGAUACCUCCUAAUCCUGCAAGAUGAAAAGGAUUUGAAAGAUCACUAUCUGAAGAGGAGCCAGAUACUCUGUUGGUAUCUUUCAACCAACACUGACAAUAACAGAUAAAUUGGUUAGUCAUUUGAUGUGCU